AGAGGAUAGCUCAGUGGUAGAGCAUGUGCUUAGUAUCCACGAGGUCCUGGGUUCAAGCCUCAGUACCUCCA
rnacentral:tRNA from 1 species